GAAAUAUAAAUUACUGUCCAUAGAUAAUAUUGGAACUAUUGUUAGAAAACAUUAAUAUUGUUCGUGUGUGGUUUGAAAGUCUGUUCUAGUUUGAUCCUUCGGGUUGUCACACAAUUGUGCAUAAGUAACUAAUUGUAUCUGUUUCCGUAAGAAUUGUAUGAAUCGUCAUGGAUUGUUUUGAGAUUCGGGCUCACUGAAUUGAGGUUCUGUAGUAGCUAUUUUUCAAGUGGCGAUUGACCUGUAUGGUAUCGUUCCUAACAUCACAUAGGUAGAUUUUUAAGAAUUGGCUUAGGGUACUGUUUGUCUCCUCAUAGUUGAUAAAUUUCUGUCUCCACCUGGUAAGGUCGUUUGAAUCAUUUCCUUUGUUGUCAUAAAGAAGGUUCGGGUCCUCUACCAUAUUGUUGUG
rnacentral:lncRNA from 1 species